rnacentral:rRNA from 1 species
UACGUAGGAGACUAGCGUUGUCCGGAAUUACUGGGUGUAAAGCGCGUGUAGGCGGCAUACCAAGUCUGUUGUGAAAUCGCCCGGCUCAACUGGGCGGGGUCAAUGGAAACUGGUAAGCUGGAGGACGGUAGAGGCGAGUGGAAUUCCCGGUGUAGUGGUGAAAUGCGUAGAGAUCGGGAGGAACACCAGUGGCGAAGGCGACUUACUGGACACAUAUUGACGCUGAGGUGCGAAAGCGUGGGGAGCAAACAGG